rnacentral:tRNA from 1 species
GCCUCAGUAGCUCAGUCUGGUAGAGCGGCACCCUCGUAAGGUGCAGGUCGCAAGUUCGAACCUUGCCUGGGGCU